GACGAACGCUGGCGGCGUGCUUAACACAUGCAAGUCGAGCGGUAAGGCCCUUUCGGGGGUACGACGAGCGGCGAACGGGUGAGUAACACGUGGGUGACCUGCCCUCAGCUCUGGGAUAAGCCUGGGAAACCGGGUCUAAUACCGGAUAUGACUCCAUGACGCAUGUUGUGGGGUGGAAAGCCUUGUGCGGCUGAGGAUGGGCCCGCGGCCUAUCAGCUUGUUGGUGGGGUGAUGGCCUACCAAGGCGACGACGGGUAGCCGGCCUGAGAGGGCGACCGGCCACACUGGGACUGAGACACGGCCCAGACUCCUACGGGAGGCAGCAGUGGGGAAUCUUGCGCAAUGGGCGAAAGCCUGACGCAGCGACGCCGCGUGAGGGAUGACGGCCUGUGUAACUC
rnacentral:rRNA from 1 species